AAUAUUUACGGCUCCGACUUAGCUACAGUAGUACAACAGUACCUACGUCAGUAUCUGGCCAGUGGCAUCAGAAUAGUGUUCAGAAUUUCAGACACACUAGUGCAUAAUAUUGUGUAUAUUAUACUAGCUGCAUUAUAUAACCUGACUAGAGAAUACAAGUGUAACUUAAAACAUUAUUUUGUCAAAGUGUGUCAAAGGUGUGUGUGUAUGUGUGUGACUAAAAUAAUAUACAAUAUUAACUAGGUUAAGACUUGUACUACGUUUGUUUUAUUCAAAUGUAUCAAUAUAUUAUUAAGUAGGUACCUAUAUACUGGCUAUUAUAUUAUUAAUUGUAGAUUGUAUUAGCCAUGAAGUCGCACAAAUUAUAAUAUUAUUAUAUUCCAAUACAAUCCAAUGACAGAUUAAUAAUAUACAAUAUAUUAUUAUUAUACUAGCACCAGUGAAACUCGGGGCCCGUGGAACUCGCUGUAGUACCAAAAGUACUAGCCAAGUACCACAAGUACCCCAAUCCCUAUGAGUGGGUAACGAUUUUGGAGACACAGUCGAAUUUUAAAAGUCACACUUAUAAUGAAGGUGAUAGUCGGAUAUGAUUUGGUGAUAAGAAUUUGUGGUAAUACCUGGCUCUUUGGCGGUCUCGUUUCGAAGGCGGGAAAGUUUGAAAGUCGACUUUCAGUGUCUAGAAUUCUCCCAUGGCCCAUGAAAGUCGGCAAUUCAAUGAUAAUAUCCCCUAACGUAUGUCCGGUGCUUUUUUGUAUGUGUACAAAAAUGUAAAUUCGAAAACCUGCAUGUUAGAGCGUAUUUUUCGAUCGACAUUGCGAUCGCUUCGGACGGCACACGAAUAUAAACCGCACACCGGCGGCUUCGAGAAAUCGCGAGCUACGCGAAUCAAGUAUAAAAAAGGGCGAAAAGGAUCGAAAAUGAUCAAAAUCGUGUAUAAACAGCUAAUUUUCCGAAAAUUUCAAAAAUCGGCGAAAUGAUAAGAAAAGAGGUGAUAAACCGACCGCCGCCGCCGCUGCGAAGGUACGCGAUUGGUCGCGCUAUAAGGAAUCGUCGGGAAUUGCCGGCGGGCUGGGGAAACGGAACGGUGCUUUAUUUUCCGUUCCACGGUUGCUUAGACAGCUGACUGCAAGCAAUUCGUGGAGGAAAAAACUGAGAAGUUCAUUUUAUAGUAUAGCCGUUUAGGAUUGUUCAGUAUAUUAUUAUGAUUUCUGAUAUAAAAAUAGGAAUCUGUUGUUGUUGAUCAGUUAAUUUUCGGGGAAAACCAUACAACGACUGUAUGCCCCCGCCGUACGCCGCACUGCCUAUCACACACUCACACACCCACACGACAUAGUGCAUACACGAUACACAUGUCAUACGUACAGACUACAGUUACGACUAACUAUAAUAUAGUAAGACACUCUAUUCUACCGUACCCGUGUAAUAGUGUAAUGUGUAUGAAUAUUGAAUUAUAAUAAAUUGUUAAAUUCUAAAUUGUAUUGUGCCGUCGGUUUUUGAAUUUCUAUUCUAUCUAUUUUUUUAUAUCUACCUAUCUACGACGCACGUGUCGACGUACCUACUUCAGUAAAGUUCACAGUUGUAUAGGAGCAUUUUCGUUAAACAUGUGGUCAGUUGUGAAUUUUUCUAAAGAUAACACUGUUGAAGUUGUGCCAUCAUUUUGGGUCAAAGAUAACAAAUCUGCUUGGCCGAAAAAAAAUGCAAAACAGUUUAUUAAACAAAGACUAGUACCAAAUAACUAUGAUUUUCAGUAUUUAUCAAUUAAAAAAAAAAUGUGCAAGGACUUAGAUGAUUAUUUUCAGGCUAGUGUCCGAGCAAAAAGGUCUGAAAAUACUUCCAACGUUUCAACUUCAUCAUAUGAAACAAAUGAUGAAAUCAGAACUAGGCAGAAGAAGGCAAUAAAAAGAGAACAUUAUAAAAUGGAGAAAAAUCAAAAAAAUAAAGCAAUUAAUAAACUACCAGCAUGGAGUCCCAAUUCCAUUGAUAGUCUAGGGUCAUGCUUGGAAAUUGUAGAAGAUAAUAAUUGUGAUGAUGAGUUCAAUAAUCCGGAUAACACACAAAUUGAUACUCCACCUUCUAGGAAUGAAAUAAUGAUUAUUGAUAAAAUAUUAUCGCCGAGCAACCAAUCAUCAGUGAAGAGAAAACUAGAUUUCAGAUCUUUGAGCCCAGACUUACUACCAGCUGCCGAAGUAUUUAAUGCAGUUAAUACAAUUGAAGAAGUUAUUUAUACAUCCUCGUCGCCCUUUAAAGUCUCUAUGACCAAUGCUACAACAACUGACAACUCAGCAUUAGACAUACUGAAUAAGAUAAAUAGAACCACAUUAAACACAUGGUAUGAAAUAAAGACUAUAACCGAAAGAAUAGAAAAUAUUGAAAAAUGUAUGACAAAUAAAACAAACAUUUUUGAAAUUCGCGAAACAACAUUGCAAGGCAUUGAUCAUGUAUUACAACAUAUACUUUGUAAUUUACCAUUGAAAACAGAAGAGGAUCUUACAAUAUUUGAAGAAAAAUUACUUGAUAUGCAGUUAAAAAAGAAAAUGGUAGAAGAACUGUCACGGCUAGCUCGCAACAACAUAGGAGGUACAGUUAGAACAAUAUUGAGAUUUCUUUUCACUGAUGAAUUACUAAAAGAAUUUAGUUACAAAGGGCAAAAAAAGAAAAAGGUGUUCUCAGUCUUGGCCACUUGUUCCUUAAUAUUUGAGUCAAUAAAUAAAAUUGGGAAAUUUAAAAAUUGCAACACAAUUGAUGUUGAAACCCCUCUGAAAAUUUUUAUUGCUGGCGCCAAAUUCCGCUUAAAUCAACUUUAAUUGUAUAAUUAUUAUUAAAAAUAAAAUAUUUAAUUUGCUCAUCAAA